UACGUAGAGGGCAAGCGUUGUCCGGAUUUAUUGGGCGUAAAGAGCGUGUAGGCGGCCAGACAAGUCUGCUGUGAAAACUCGAGGCUCAACCUCGAGCUGUCGGUGGAAACUGUCUGGCUAGAGUCCGGAAGAGGAGAGUGGAAUUCCUGGUGUAGCGGUGAAAUGCGCAGAUAUCAGGAAGAACACCUAUGGCGAAGGCAGCUCUCUGGGACGGUACUGACGCUGAGACGCGAAAGCGUGGGGAGCGAACAGG
rnacentral:rRNA from 1 species